UUCGAGCGUCAUUUAAACCUUCAAGCUCAGCUUGGUGAUGGGUGACUGUCCUAACCACGGACUCGCCUCAAAUACAUUGGCGGCCGGUACAUUGGCUUCGAGCGCAGCAGAAACGCGAACUCGGAUCCAUUGUGCUAGCUCCCAGAAGCUAUCUUCACAAUUUUGACCUCGGAUCAGGUAGGGAUACCCGCUGAACUUAA
rnacentral:misc_RNA from 1 species